AGAGCAUCAUUAAUGUGUACCAUCCUUAUUGUUAUCCUUCCACUUUGAUUGUCAGUGAAGAAAUUUUUGGGGAUGGUUAUUCUGAGAUGCUC